rnacentral:rRNA from 1 species
GACGAACGCUGGCGGCGUGCUUAACACAUGCAAGUCGAACGGAAAGGCCCUGCUUUUGUGGGGUGCUCGAGUGGCGAACGUGUGAGUAACCCGUGAGUAACCUGCCCUUGACUUUGGGAUAACUUCAGGAAACUGGGGCUAAUACCGGAUAGGAGCUCCUGCUGCAUGGUGGGGGUUGGAAAGUUUCGGCGGUUGGGGAUGGACGCGCGGCUUAUCAGCUUGUUGGUGGGGUAGUGGCUUACCAAGGCUUUGACGGGUAGCCGGCCUGAGAGGGUGACCGGCCACAUUGGGACUGAGAUACGGACCAGACUGCUACGGGAGGCAGCAGGGGGGAAUAUUGCACAAUGGGCGGAAGCCUGAUGCAGCAACGUCGCGUGCGGGAUGACGGCCUUCGGGGUGUAAACCGCUUUCGCCUGUGACGAAGCGUGAGUGACGGUAAUGGGUAAAGAAGCACCGGCUAACUACGUG